GACGAACGCUGGCGGCGUGCUUAACACAUGCAAGUCGAACGGAAAGGUCCUGCUUUUGUGGGGUGCUCGAGUGGCGAACGGGUGAGUAACACGUGAGUAACCUGCCCUUGACUUUGGGAUAACUUCAGGAAACUGGGGCUAAUACCGGAUAGGAGCUCCUGCUGCAUGGUGGGGGUUGGAAAGUUUCGGCGGUUGGGGAUGGACUCGCGGCUUAUCAGCUUGUUGGUGGGGUAGUGGCUUACCAAGGCUUUGACGGGUAGCCGGCCUGAGAGGGUGACCGGCCACAUUGGGACUGGAGUAAGGCCCCGGCUCCGAAGGGAGGCAGCGGUGGGGAAUAUUGCACAAUGGGCGGAAGCCUGAUGCAGCAACGCCGCGUGCGGGAUGACGGCCUUCGGGUUGUAAACCGCUUUCGCCUGUGACGAAGCGUGAGUGACGGUAAUGGGUAAAGAAGCACCGGCUAACUACGUG
rnacentral:rRNA from 1 species